GGAAUUUUCCGCAAUGGGCGAAAGCCUGACGGAGCAACGCCGCGUGAGGGAUGAAGGCCUCUGGGCUGUAAACCUCUUUUUUCAAGGAAGAAGAUCUGACGGUAUUUGAAGAAUAAGCCACGGCUAAUUCCGUGCCAGCAGCCGCGGUAAUACGGGAGUGGCAAGCGUUAUCCGGAAUUAUUGGGCGUAAAGCGUCCGCAGGCGGCCUUGUAAGUCUGUUGUUAAAGCGUGGAGCUUAACUCCAUUUGAGCAAUGGAAACUGCAAGGCUUGAGUGUGGUAGGGGCAGAGGGAAUUCCCGGUGUAGCGGUGAAAUGCGUAGAUAUCGGGAAGAACACCAGUGGCGAAGGCGCUCUGCUGGGCCAUAACUGACGCUCAUGGACGAAAGCCAGGGGAGCGAAAGGGAUUAGAUACCCCUGUAGUC
rnacentral:rRNA from 1 species